CUUCCCGCCUCGGCCUCCCAGAGUGCUGAGAUUACAGAUGUGAACCCAUGCCAGGCCAGGAAUUUUGUUUUUUAGGAAGGCUUUCUACUAAUGGAAUUCCUGGCCUUGAGAGGAUAUUACUUUCGACGGAAAGGAUUUUUUUGUUAUUAAAAGCAGCUUAAAAUUGGUGCCUUAUUCAGACACAAGCAAAAGGACAUUAGCCCAGCUUUGGAAAUAGUGGGAUGAUGCAGCAAGAAGACCCUUACCAGAUGCAGGCCCCUCAACCUUCGACUUCCUAACAUCCAGAACUCUGGACCUACCAUGAAAGACUUCUGAAUCCAGGAAGAGAAACUGACUGGGCAACAUGUUAUUCAGAAACAGGACCUUGCCCUGUCACUCAGGAUGGAGUUCAAUGGUCCUAUCAUGGCUCAUUAUAGCCUUAAACUCCCAGGCUCAAGCAAUCCUACCAUGUCAGCCUUCCCAGUAGCUGGGACUACAGGAAGUGACCUCACAAUGACUCAAGCUACCACAUACUGUUGAUUGUGAAAUGCCAGUUGAAGCAUAUGUCCUGCGAGCUUAGGGGUGCUACAAGUUGACCACUGCAGCAGUAAAGAUGACUCUGAAGAAUGGCAUGGGAUGGAUCCUUUCGAAUGCACUUGAGCAGCGGUCUCCAACCACAGGGCCACAGAGCUGGAGCUGGAUCUACCAUGAAAGACUUCUGAAUCCAGGAAGAGAGACUGACUGGGCAACAUGUUAUUCAGGGUCUCCCUCUGUUGUCCAAGGCUGGAGUGUAGUAGUGCUA
rnacentral:lncRNA from 1 species